GACGAACGCUGGCGGCGUGCUUAACACAUGCAAGUCGAACGGUAAGGCCCCUUCGGGGGUACACGAGUGGCGAACGGGUGAGUAGCACGUGAGCAACCUGCCCUUGACUCUGGAAUAACAGUUGGAAACAGCUGCUAAUACUGGAUAUUCAUCGUCUCCUUCCUGGGGGGUGGUGGAAAGCUCCGGCGGUCAGGGAUGGGCUCGCGGCCUAUCAGCUUGUUGGUGAGGUAAUGGCUCACCAAGGCUUCGACGGGUAGCCGGCCUGAGAGGGCGACCGGCCACACUGGGACUGCGAUACGGCCCAGACUCCUACGGGAGGCAGCAGUGGGGAAUAUUGCACAAUGGGCGCAAGCCUGAUGCAGUAACGCCGCGUGCGGGAUGACGGCCUUCGGGUUGUAAACCGCUUUCAGUAGGGACGAAGGGUGACUGACGGUACCUACAGAAGAAGGACCGGCUAACUACGUG
rnacentral:rRNA from 1 species